AUUUUAACUCAUAAAUACAUAUUUAUGAGUAGUGUAUUUGUUAUCGUAUUUUUAGUUACUUUUCAAGUUUUUCUUUAUAAAAAUUUCAAUUUAUUAAUAUGUUUUUAAAAAAAGAUAAUAC
rnacentral:rRNA from 1 species